rnacentral:rRNA from 1 species
GACGAACGCUGGCGGCGUGCUUAACACAUGCAAGUCGAACGAAGAGCGAUGGAAGCUUGCUUCUAUCAAUCUUAGUGGCGCACGGGUGAGUAACGCGUAAUCAACCUGCCCUUCAGAGGGGGACAACAGUUGGAAACGACUGCUAAUACCGCAUACGAUCUAAUCUCGGCAUCGAGGAUAGAUGAAAGGUGGCCUCUACAUGUAAGCUAUCACUGAAGGGGGGGAUUGCGUCUGAUUAGCUAGUUGGAGGGGUAACGGCCCACCAAGGCGAUGAUCAGUAGCCGGUCUGAGAGGAUGAACGGCCACAUUGGGACUGAGACACGGCCCAGACUCCUACGGGAGGCAGCAGUGGGGAAUCUUCCGCAAUGGACGAAAGUCUGACGGAGCAACGCCGCGUGAGUGAUGACGGCCUUCGGGUUGUAAAGCUCUGUUAAUCGGGACGAAAGGCCUUCUUGCGAAUAGUGAGAAGGAUUGACGGUACCGGAAUAGAAAGCCACGGCUAACUACGUG